AUCUUUUGCAGACAACACCCUUGGUGUAUAAUGGACUGAAUCAUUGCCAACCAAACCCCAUUCCACCUGUUUCUCCUCUAAGCGGGGCUUUUAAACUCAGCAUUUCCUUGAAUGCCACCCCUAUUUUGCAUUUGUUCUGUGUCUGCAGCCUGGCUCCUGAGGGACAGCUACUUCUCACAUCCCUGUGGGGCCAUAGUGCCACCAGGAUGUCUUGACAGUGUGCUGAAGUACUCUCAAGAAAAACCUUGUGAACCAAUAGUGGCCUCAUCUCCUGCAAGUAAAAUGAGUUCUUAACCUGAGCCAUUUUAGUCAUGAACAAGAUCUCUUUCACUGUCUGUAAUUGCACAUUUUAUUUGGAUAUGUUGAGGCUGAAGUGCCCAGUUGCAUUAGAUGCUUGCUAUACUGUGAUGUAAAACACAAACAUGAGUCUGUCUUAAUCCCCACCUGGCCUAUUCCUUCGGCGGGUGGUUCUGUGCCUCACGACCCAUCUCCCUGUGUCUAUCUGCUGUCAAAGCAUAAGUUGUUUGCCCUGUGUGAGAGACAACAACUUUUCGUAUUUGAUGGUGAUAGCAGCAAAAUGUUGGACACAGGAGAGGAUCUGUGGGCUGCAGAGUUGGCGGUCUGUUGAAACGUCACUGCUUGAAAGUUAAAAACCAUUUUCAAUUUCAC
rnacentral:lncRNA from 1 species